rnacentral:rRNA from 1 species
UUGAUCAUGGCUCAGAUUGAACGCUGGCGGCAGGCCUAACACAUGCAAGUCGAGCGGCAGCGGGUCCUUCGGGAUGCCGGCGAGCGGCGGACGGGUGAGUAAUGCCUAGGAAUCUGCCUGGUAGUGGGGGAUAACUCGGGGAAACUCGAGCUAAUACCGCAUACGUCCUACGGGAGAAAGCGGGGGAUCUUCGGACCUCGCGCUACCAGAUGAGCCUAGGUCGGAUUAGCUAGUUGGUGAGGUAAAGGCUCACCAAGGCGACGAUCCGUAGCUGGUCUGAGAGGAUGAUCAGCCACACUGGAACUGAGACACGGUCCAGACUCCUACGGGAGGCAGCAGUGGGGAAUAUUGGACAAUGGGCGAAAGCCUGAUCCAGCCAUGCCGCGUGUGUGAAGAAGGCCUCGGGAUUGUAAAGCACUUUAAGUUGGGAGGAAGGACAGUUAGUUAAUACCUUGCUGUUUUGACGUUACCGCAAAUAAGAACCGGCUA